GUUAGCACUCUGGACUUUGAAUCCAGCGAUCCGAGUUCAAAUCUCGGUGGGACCUGCUAGAACUUUUAUUUUUUUUUAUACUUAAAUAAUUAAGAUUUUUUUAUUAUUUUGCUCAUAAACAUGCAGUGAAAUCUGCGAUUUGUAUAUCAUAGUAAGUUUUGUUAAAACAAGAUACGUUUGGCGAUUCCACAUGUUUUCCUCUGUUCAUAACCUAAUCUUAACCUAACUUAUCGCUUCUUUUACUUGCUGCUAACGCAAAACAAUAUAUAUAUAUAUAUAUAUACGUUUAUGUAGACCACGUGUUGUAGCAUUUUUGAGAAUUUGAUUGCUCGCGAAAAAGAAUGGCCGAGCAAGACAAUUCCGUGGUAGUUAUCAAGGCGAAGCCUGUUCGUAAAGUUUUCAAGGCUCCCACGAGAGUCAGCAAAAUUCCCGAGGAGCUCCUGAACGAUCCUCUCCUGAAUUCUGCCAUAGCAGCUCUACCCGCGAAUUAUAAUUUUGAGAUACACAAGUCGAUAUGGAGAAUCAGAGAGGCCAAAGCGAAGCGAGUGGUUCUCCAAAUGCCAGAAGGCCUUUUAUUGUACGCCACAACCAUAGCUGACAUCAUUGAAGAUUUUACUGAAGCAGAGACUGUUAUUAUGGCCGAUGUCACCUAUGGAGCCUGCUGUGUAGACGAUUACACGACACGAGCGUUGGAUGCGGAUUUCCUGAUCCACUAUGGACACUCGUGUCUUAUACCUGUGGAUCAGACUGUCGGUAUCAAGGUGCUUUAUGUAUUUGUUAACAUAAAAAUUGAUAUUUCACAUUGUGUGGAUUGUCUGAAAGUCAGUCUACCAGUUACUACAAAGAUAGCGCUAGUCAGUACAAUACAGUUUGCCACAACGGUACAAGCGGUAGCAAUGGAACUGAAAAGAGACGGUUACGAGGUCUCGGUGCCGCAGAGCAAGCCACUUAGUCCUGGAGAGAUUUUAGGAUGCACUGCGCCACAAGUUCGCUGCGCCGAUGCGGUAAUCUACUUAGGGGAUGGCCGCUUCCAUUUGGAGGCUGCUAUGAUUGCCAAUCCCAAGCUGAGGGCGUUCAAAUACGAUCCAUACGCAAAGAAAUUGACCGAAGAGUUCUACGAUCACGAGAGAAUGUUGAACACCAGGCACGACGCGAUACAGCGUGCUAUGAAAACUGACAAAUAUGCUUUAGUGCUCAGUACUCUGGGCAGGCAGGGUAGUCCUAGUGUAUUGAAAACUCUGCAAAAUAGAAUCGAGGCUUUAGGGAAGGAAAACGUCGUGAUAUUGCUGUCGGAGAUAUUCCCGGAUAAAAUCAAGCUAUUCAGAAAUGUUGACGCUUUCAUACAAAUCGCGUGUCCACGAUUGAGCAUUGACUGGGGUGUCGCGUUCGAGAAACCGUUUCUCACACCCUACGAAGGCGCCGUUGCCCUUAGGAUGGCGGAUUUCAACAGAGAUCGGCCGUAUCCCAUGGAUUUUUACGCUACAAUCAGCCUCGGACCGUGGACCGCCAAUCACAAGGAAUCUGAGUUAGAAAAGACUGAUGCUUGCUGCGGUAAAUGUAAAAUGGACAAAUAAAAGAGUCGAAUAUUACAAUUCAAAUUCAUUAUGAGAUUGUCAAUUUAUUAAAUUAAAAGAAAUUAUCCCUCUUUGUUUUCCACUACGAUUGCACCAGUUUGUUUUUUAAUAAAUUUUUCAUUAGACGUAGCUGUAAAUUUGAGCAGGUGCAUUCGAGAGCUGUCCAUAUUAAAUCCCCGUCAUCCCUAAGUUGUUGCUAGCGGAGCGAUAAUGGGCAGAUAGGAGGGUCCGCGUGGGCGAAUUACGUCAUACGCCCACCUGUAGCCCGCUCACACACAUACACACUGAAAUAUCGUACAUACAGGGUGUACGAAGCAGCAUAUCGGCAAGAUUUCGUAAAACGUUCUAUAAAAAAAGAAAAUGAAUGUUAACGGCCAAGUAACGAAUAAUUUACGCAAAUGAAAGCGUUCUUUAUUAGAAAGAUAUUGUUUCGAAUAUCAACAUUUUUGUUACUCUACUGCUAUGAAACAUGUAUGCCGUACAAGGAUGAAAUAUAGCGAUGAAUAUAUGAUGAAACGACCGACGUGAGUGAAGGAAAGGAACACAGAGUACAUGAUAAAAUACCGGGGGUGGAAGGCGGCGCCGGCCGCACCCCGGCGUCGCGACGUCAGUCGUUGUUCCAGCGUGGCUCAACAAGUACACGCGGGGCGCCUAGUCCACGGUUUCAAAUUUUGGAAUAAUCUUGACGUGACUUGUCAUACAGUUAUUCUAUACUAAAAUGUAUUAAAUCGACGAAUAUAGCAGGAAUUGUGAAAGUAAAUCGUCCGCAAAUCAUCAUUUAUCCCGAUUAGUGAACGAUCUGAUCGUCAACAUUGGUAAAAA